UUAUUAUAUGUCAUAUAUCAUUCAAAGAUAAUAAAAAUGCAAUGUAAUACUAACUUUUGUAAAUCUACAUUAUUUUUCUUUUAUAUUUGCACCCUAGGUUAUUUUGUUUAAAUUUAUAAUUAGUUUCUUGUAUGUUUAAGUGAUGGACACAUGUGUUCCCUAAUUGUCGAGGUCUAAAAUUAAAAAAUAACAGGACAUGUUUGGACAAGUGUCUGACAUGUAUUGAGAAGUGUCCAAUGAGUGUUUGUGUCCGAAACAGAUACGCUACUUUUUGAGAAGUGUCUGUGCUUCAUAGUCGGUAAUAGUAUUGCAUAUUCAAUAUAUAAUAGAGUUUUAAUUGCUGCUCCUCUUGACUUUAGCUCAAAUCGAUGUUUGUUUUGUACCUACUCUUGUUAUGGUGUGUGCUAUUUGAUAACAUUGAUUGGUUCAUCCACACAUAAAGAAGGGAAAAAGACACUGUUUACCCUCCUAAAACUCAUAGUUGAUUAUAAAGGACAGAGCCUGUUUUUUGUUGUUCUAAUUCCUAUUUGUUAUCUAUGGUUCUUAUGAAAGAUCAUUUUAUCUUGGUUGCUAUAAUAUAAUAGGUAAAACCCAUAUUACAGAUUCAAAAUUAACUAUAUUUUCUAUUUUUUUCUUCUUUUAUGAGUUUUACUAAGCAAAGUUUGAUUCUUAUGGGUUUCUUCUAGAUUUGGAUUUCAUCAACCUCCUUUGAACAGUGUUAACCAUCUCCAUCUCCACUGUUUUGCACUUCCCUAUACACCAAGAUGGAAACAUAUAAAAUACAUGUCUUUGGGAUGUCUGGGUGGAUUUAUUGAAGCCGAGAAGUUGUUGGAAAGGAUAAAGCCAUUUUCUUCUAUUCCAUCAAAAGUGUGACUUUAUUCACCGUUCAUCUGUGUAUUGGAUUGUAUUUAAUCUCAUUUCACAACUGUAGGUUAUGUUAUAAUCACUUAAGUCAAUAUAUGCGAAUGCUUUUUCCCUUUUAAUAAACUUAAUAGAGAUUGUGAUACGCCUUUGCUUAUCUUAUAAUGAAUUUCUCUUUGUUUUGCAA